CUGCCUUGAUUUUUAGCCAUCUCUCAGGAUGGCAGUACAUCCUGGAGGUGGAAGGACUAGGUUCAAACCCUGGCCCCUACCACUUACAACCAUAUAAGCUUGGGCAAGUUACUAGACCCUCCUCUACACUACUGUUUGUCUGUAAAAUGGAGGUAAGAGAAUCAUCCUCCCUACCUCCUGAAGAUGUGUGAGAUGAAAUGAAAUGAUGCUUAGAAAGCACUUGGCACCGUUCCUAUCACAUGGUUAGCACUCAGCAAAUAUUGCCCAUUAGGAUUUAACCCGUGUUUUUACCCUUUCCCCAACACACCCCUUCUGGCUGGCUGGCUGAAUUCAAAAGACUGAGCAAAUUCCAGGGUAAACAAGAUGGCACUAUCCAAACAAGAGGAAGGAGAAUAUGUCCAAGAGCCAGGUUUGUUUGUGUCAAGACCUUCCAGAUCCAGUGGUUCUUCAUCUUUUGGGAGAUUGAUGAAACAGUUUGAUCCAUUGCACACAAAAUAUGUAUAUAGUGCACACGUCUACUGCCUGUGACUUAAGAGGGCACACAGGAUGCCUAGUCCGCCCACUGAUCCCAAACCCAGAGUCAAGAACCUUUUAGCUCAAGGGUCAGCAAACUUACUCUAAAAAGACAGCUAGUAAAUAUCUUUGGCUUUGUGAGCCGUAUAUAGUCUGUUUUACAACUAGUCAAUUCUGCUGUUGCAGUGCAAAAGUAGCCACAGAUAACACACGAAUGAUUAAGUAUGGCUGUGUUCCAAUAAAACCGUACUUAUGAACACCAAAUUUGAAUUUCAUGUCAUUUUCAUGCAUCACAAAAUCUUAGUCUUCUCUUGAUUUUUUUUCUCACCCACUUAAAAAAUAAAAACCAUUCUUAGCAGGAGACCCGCCAAAAAAAAAAAGAAAGUAUGAUGCACCAUAGUUGCCAACCACUGCUGCAGGGCAUGGGUUCUAAGCAUUCAUCACCUUGG